AAAUAUUUUUAUAUAUUUGGCCACAAUGACUUUUCUUCAGUCGUUAUAGCCUAACUCUAUAUAUACUAAUCUUGGUAUGCUCGCAAGCUACCUAUACUGGCAAAGGCAAAACAUUCACCGAUAUCCACAAAAAAUGCUGGUGGAGAGGUUGAUGAUGAAGUUGCUAUUUGUAAUCUUGAUUAUAGCUGGAUCAAUCUCAUACUCUCUCCAAAUUGAUCCCGAAAACAGAAAAAUUGAGAAAAUUAUUCUGACAACUGAAUCAGAGGAAAUUGUGGAUACAAAUUUUAGAUUCAAGAAGA